AUUUAGGUAGCUUAAUUAUUAAAGCUAAUCAUUGAAAAUGAUUAAAUACGUGUCUUACGUCUUAAAUG
rnacentral:tRNA from 1 species